CCUACGGGAGGCAGCAGUGAGGAAUAUUGGUCAAUGGACGAGAGUCUGAACCAGCCAAGUAGCGUGAAGGAUGACUGCCCUAUGGGUUGUAAACUUCUUUUAUAUGGGAAUAAAACGUUCCACGUGUGGGAUUUUGUAUGUACCAUAUGAAUAAGGAUCGGCUAACUCCGUGCCAGCAGCCGCGGUAAUACGGAUGAUCCGAGCGUUAUCCGGAUUUAUUGGGUUUAAAGGGAGCGUAGGUGGAUUGUUAAGUCAGUUGUGAAAGUUUGCGGCUCAACCGUAAAAUUGCAGUUGAAACUGGCAGUCUUGAGUACAGUAGAUGUGGGCGGAAUUCGUGGUGUAGCGGUGAAAUGCUUAGAUAUCGCGAAGAACUCCGAUUGCGAAGGCAGUUCACUGGACUGCAACUGACACUGAGGCUCGAAAGUGUGGGUAUCAAACAGGAUUAGAUACCCUAGUAGUC
rnacentral:rRNA from 1 species